rnacentral:rRNA from 1 species
GACGUAGGGCGCGAGCGUUGUCCGGAUUUAUUGGGCGUAAAGAGCUCGUAGGCGGCUUGUCGCGUCGACUGUGAAAACCCGUGGCUCAACCAUGUGGUCUGCAGUCGAUACGGGCAGGCUAGAAUUCGGUAGGGGAGACUGGAAUUCCUGGUGUAGCGGUGAAAUGCGCAGAUAUCAGGAGGAACACCAAUGGCGAAGGCAGCUCGCUGGGACGGUACUGACGCUGAGGAGCGAAAGCGUGGGGAGCGAACAGG